rnacentral:rRNA from 1 species
UACAGGGGGCUCGAGCGUUAGGCGGAAUCACUGGGCUUAAAGGGCGUGUAGGCGGAUAUUUAAGUCCGAGGUGAAAUCUCUGAGCUCAACUCAGAAACUGCCUUGGAUACUAUUUAUCUUGAAUAUCGUUGAGGUAGGCGGAAUAUGUCAUGUAGCGGUGAAAUGCUUAGAUAUGACAUAGAACACCGAUUGCGAAGGCAGCUUGCUGAACGAUUAUUGACGCUGAGGCACGAAAGCGUGGGGAGCAAACGGG